rnacentral:lncRNA from 1 species
AUGUGUGUGCAGACCAAGACUUUCUGCACAUACAACAACAACAAACCCUGGUUCACACCUCAACUCAGGAUGCUGCGUCAGGCUAAGGAGGAAGCCUACAGGAGUGGGGACAGGGACCUGUUCAGGCAGGCAAAGUACACACUAUCCAGGGAGAUCAAAGUAGCCAAGAGGUGCUACACUGAGAAGCUAAAACAAAGCUUCUCAAACAAAGUCCCUUCAGAAGUGUGGAAAGGCCUGCGUGAGGUUACCAACUACAGGAAACCCUCCCCCCACCCUGCAGGUAACAAAAGACUGGCUGAAGACCUGAAUAGCUUUUACUGCAGGUUUUCUCACCCACCCCCCAGCUCAUUAGCAUCAGCCCAUCACCUGGACUCUGCCCUUCCUGCUCCCCCCACUUCCCCCCCUACCUCACCCUCUGACCCCCCACCUACCCUGAAGAUCAAUGAAAGAGAUGUGUGCCAGCUAUUCAAGAGACUAAAGAUCAAAAAGGCUCCAGGACCAGACGGAGUAUCUCCCUCCUGCCUGAAAGCCUGUGCUGAGCAGCUGGCCCCCAUCUUCUCACGGAUCUUCAAUACAUCACUGGAGCUGUGUGAAGUACCAUCCUGCUUCAAAAGCUCCAACAUCAUCCCAGUCCCAAAGAAACCUGCCAUCACAGGACUUAAUGACUAUCGACCCAUUGCCCUGACGUCCGUAGUCAUGAAGUCCUUUGAGAGGCUGGUACUGAGCCACCUGAAGGACAUCACAGGUCCCCUGCUGGACCCCCUGCAGUUUGCCUAUCGGGCAAACAGGUCUGUCGAGGAUGCAGUCAACAUGGGACUGAACUACAUCCUGCAUCACCUCGACUCCCCAGGGACCUACGCUAGGAUCCUGUUUGUGGAUUUCAGCUCUGCGUUCAACACCAUCAUCCCGGACAUCCUUCACCAGAAACUCACCCAGCUCACAGUGCCGGCCUCCCAACUUCCAACUUCCAACUUCCUGACUGACAGGAAGCAGCAAGUAAGGCUGGGAGGCAUCACAUCCAGCACCCGGUCACUCAGCACUGGCGCCCCUCAGGGGUGUGUUCUCUCCCCACUGCUAUUCUCCCUCUACACCAAUGACUGCACCUCAGGGGACCCCUCUGUGAAACUCCUGAAGUUUGCAGACGACACCACCGUCAUCGGUCUCAUCAGGGAUGGGGACGAGUCUGCCUUCAGACGGGAGGUGGAACAGCUGGCUCUCUGGUGCAGUCAGAACCACCUGGAACUGAACCCACUCAAGACUGUGGAGAUGACAGUGGACUUCAGGAGAAAUCCCCCCCCACUCACCCCCCUUACCAUUCUGAACAGCAAAGUGGCUACAGUGGACUCCUUCAGGUUCCUGGGAUCCACAAUCUCUCAGGACCUGAAGUAG